rnacentral:lncRNA from 1 species
CACUGCAUGGAGUGAAUGUAGAGUGAUUAUUGUGUCAUUCCACCAUAGCACCCCAGGUGAAUAAAUGAACAAUUAGUCUAGUUACAGUCACAGCAGUCACCGGUGUGCAUAACUAUGACUGUAACUAUGUCCCAGAUGCUGGACUUGAGCCUCUUAACUUUAUUGAAUGCAUGCACUUUAGUCACAGAUUUCAAGUGUGUUGUGUCGGGAAAUGUACAAAUGUCACUGUAUAACCUGCUUGUAAGUUGUAUUGCACACCAAUAGUGCAUCUCUCUGCGUGUGUAACCUGCCAUUGUUUACGUUUUUGGGUAUGCAAGACUAACUUGUUCUCUACUCACGCCACCUGCCUCAGUAAAAUGGAACGUGGCCCGAGAUGUUUGUUGUCCUUGCAUGCCCUCUAGAGGAUCGUUAUUGAAUGUACAAAGACGCGUAUCUCCAGUUAUGCCGGAUUUUCCGACAAGUUGAGUUACACGUCAGAAUGUAACCUGUACUGGUGAGUGGACGUGUACUAUGACCUCAGCAGUUUCCGUGUGUCAGCUGAUCACGGAUUCCGGAUGUCAUGGAACGUGUGGGGGAUAUGCCGAACGACAGUGGUUUCUCCAUUGCUGGCCCCUCCACCACCCCCCGUAAGCGGCAGGUGCGCUUCUCCGCCCGCCAUGACAUCAUGCUCCUGCGGGAGGUCAUCGCCCAGAACCCCUUCAAGACCAAGGAGACAGGCCGCAUCUGGGCGCGGGUGGGCGAGAUCAUCACAGGCGCGCUACAGGACGAGAACUUUGAGGUGGACGCCCGUCGCUGUCGCGAGAGGACCAUGCUGCUGCUGGACUACUACAAGAAGCAGGACUUUCCCAGCCUGCGGAGGUUUGGAACCGAGAGGCUGUACUCACAGAAAGAGGACCUGCUCCACGAGGUGCUGGAGCUGGAGGCGGAGAAGGGGCUGAUGGGAAAAGAGGAGACCAAGUACCAGGACGAGGAGCUGAGGAAACGAGUUCUGGAAGAACUCACCAUGCCAGAGCAGGACAAACCCAACCUGCUGUCGAUAACAGCGCUACCUACAGAGGUCACGACCCCAGAGCCAGAGGACCCAGAGGGGGUGGGCGAGCUGGCAGACCUGCCCGCGCCCACGGCCAAGCGCGCCUGCCAGUGCUGCUGCCAGACGUACUCGGAGAUCUUGAGCUUCCUGGAGAAGCGGGCGGAGGCCGAGCAGCGCCUGCGCGAGGAGGAGAUGGCGCUGAGACGCGAGGAGCUGGAGAUCCAGCGGAGCAAGAUCGCCCUGGAACGCGAGCGGCUCGGGGCCGAGAGGACUGAGCGCGAGAGGCGCUUCGAGCUGGAGAGCCAGGAGAGACAGGUCAUCCUGGACCUGCUCAAGGAGAAAGUGCUCAGGAACCCUGAGCCGGCCAGGGGGAAGGAUGCAGAGGGCUGA